GCUCAAACCAAGAAAACAGCAACACAACAAAGUGUGAUGCUCAAAAAUCAAAUUUAAAAAAUCCCCCAAUUAUAUGGAAUCUAGAGAUUGGCUAGACCGUCCAUAAGGACAUGCUGUUUUUUGUUCUUGUUUUCGUUUGCGGUUUAUUUUUUAAAUUUCUAAUCCAUUGUGGACCGCUAUGUUUUUGUAAAAUACAAUAUAAAUGAGUUACUAAAUAAAAUUUUAAUUAAUUAAUUACUUUUUUGGUUGGCGCCCUCCAGGUGUGGGAUCAGAAUUCCCCAACCAGGGAUGGAACGCACACCCCCGGCAUUAGAAGGUGCAGUCCUAACCACGGAGCCGCCAGGGAAGUCCCACUAAACACUUGUUAAAAGACAUAAAGCUCCAAUCCAAAUAUCUUAACACCAGACCUUUGUAGGCUACCUCCUUUAUGUUCAGCAUGUAUGAAAUGAUUUCGUUUUUUAUAUGCAGCUGCUAUAAAAGUCUGUCUUUCUUUUCGAAGUCUGUAUUUAUCUCUCUGCUUAGCCCUGAGACGUAGGUGGGAUAAACGCUCCAGAGUUUCACGCGCCGGACGCCUGGAUGGCUGCCUCCCCCGAACCCUUGCCCCGCAUCAUCCGGCCAAGCAUCCCCUCUGGAGCAUGCGCCGUCCAUUCCUGCGAUCUGGCCUGCGGAGGUCCCUCCUCUCCGGCCUUUCAAGCAGAGACCUUCAUCUGACCCUGCCCGGCUACUGGGCAAGGCUCCGUUGCCCUGUGACACUGAAGGGCGAGGGAGCCACAGAGGGCUCAAGAGUCCCUGAGCAUCAGGGUUUACCGGAUGCGUGGUGUGAACUAGGCUCCAAAUGAAGAGCCUGGGAGGAGGGCCUCCGUCGCCUCGGUUACCCAGGUGGUUCCCAUCCCAAGCCUCUCCUUCAGCCCCCACAGAAAUGCGGAGUGGGGCUUCUCCUGGGAACGGUGGUCAGGGCUGCAAUGCCCGGACCUGGCUCUGCCACGCUCCAUGCUUCUGCUGAUGCACAGCGCCUGCCAGCGCAUCCUCUCCCUGCGCAUUCAUCAGGACCCACACCCAGGAACACACCCAGCUGCACCUUGUUUGAAAAAGAAAAAAGAGCUGCUGUAUGAAUCCCGCUUAGAAAACAGCUGAACCAGGCAAAUCUCUGCAGCACCUUUGAACUUUGGCUUAAGAAGUGAAGGAGACUUGAACUCUGCCAUAUCUAUGACCAGAGGGUUCCAUAGGGUUGUAGUCAAAGUGUCAGCUCAACUGAGAAAAGAUCGACUUCCACGUUUAUGCCGUUGUUGGCAGCAUCCAGUUCCUCGCAAGCUGCCAGCCUGAGCCUUAGUUUCUUGUUGGCUGUGACUAGAAGUUACCUUCAGCUCUCUGCUGUGUGCAUGGUACUCUCCAUAUCAAAGCUUAUCGCAUGGCAGAUUGUUUAUUCAAAACCGACAAGGAAGAGAAAGUUUCCUACCAAGAUGAGUUAAAUGCCUUGUAAAAUGAGAUCACAUUCAGGAAAUGAAAUAUUUAAUACAUUCCUUCACCUUUGCCAUGCUCUUAGUUGGAAGCUAUUCACAGUCCUAUGCACCAAGGGAGAGGCUCACACAAGGGUGCAGAACAGGAGGCAAGGAUCAUGGGACCACUCUAGACACUGUCCACCAACUGAGUGGUGCUCCAGCCUUCUCUUCUCUUUCCCUGGCAACCUGACCCUACAAGAUGGCUCAUAAAAUGGAAGAAACAAAGGUGGAUGCAUAUUAGAUCUUCAGUUACCACUUGGAAUAAAGUUGUCCUGAAGGGUGACCUCAUCCACAGUGGAUUUUGACUAAGCAAGAAAUUUGAGAACUUUUAUAGUCUGACUUUAGAAAGAGAAGAAAACCUUAACCUGAUCCAUGAAGGAAAAAGGAAAGAAGAAUGACAUGGGCUAUUAAGUUUUUAAAAAAGAAUAAAAAAAUCAAAUGUGUGAAGAUAGACAUGCACUGUAUUAAAAACAGUCAAUGUUCCAUGGAGAUUUCUGAUGGAGGGAAAAAUGAGAC
ensembl:lncRNA